CCUACGUGUGGCAGCAGUGAGGAAUAUUGGUCAAUGGGCGCUAGCCUGAACCAGCCAAGUAGCGUGAAGGAUGACUGCCCUAUGGGUUGUACACUUCUUUUAUAUGGGAAUAAAGUGCAGUAUGUAUACUGCUUUGCAUGUACCUUAUGAAUAAGGAUCGGCUAACGCCGUGCCAGCAGCCGCGGUAAUGCGGGGGAUCCGAUCGUUCUCCGGAUUUAUUGGGUUUGGGGGGGGGGUAGGCGGGUUGUUAAGUUAGUUGUGAAAGUUUGCGGCUCAAACGUAAAAUUGCCGUUGAUACUGGCAUACUUGAGUACAGUAGAGGUAGGCGGAAUUCGUGGUGUAGCGGUGAAAUGCUUAGAUAUCACGAAGAACUCCGAUUGCGAGGCAGCCUGCUGGACUGUAACUGACGCUGAUGCUCGAAAGUGUGGGUAUCAAACAGGAUUAGAUACCCCAGUAGUC
rnacentral:rRNA from 1 species